UCGCCUCCCCUCGCCAGAAAGCUUCUCCCUUUCCCCUUCGCCUCGCCGGGAGGAAAUCUCCAAAACCCUAGCCGAUGCCGUCGUCCAUGCCGCGCAGAGGUAGACGACGCUCUCCCCCUCCACCUCCACCAUCAGAUGCAUCACCCCUUCCCGUGCCCUCUCCUCCCCCACCGUCGCCAUCAGCUGCAUCGUCCAGGGCUACCUCCCCUCUACCACCGGCCGCAGCCUCCACCGCCGGCCGAACCCCUCCCCUCCGCUGCCCUCAACCACCAGCCGAAGCCUCCACAAGCCGAUCCCCUCCCCUCCCCUACUCUCCACCACCAGGUGCAGCCUCCACAAGCCACCCCCCUUCCCUCCCCUGCUCUCCGCCACCAGCCGCAGCGUCCAGGGCCACCUCCCCUCCUCUCCCCUCCACCACCAGUCGGCCCCCUCCCCUCCUCUCCCCUCCACCACCGGCUGCAGCCUGCACAAGCCGACCCCCUCCCCUCCACGACCCAACCCCCUCCCCGUCUCUCCACCAUCAGCCACAACCCCCUCCCGAAUGCCGCUACUUUGACGGGGAUGGAGAACUCUUCGCCGACAAGGACGGGGAAGGCCUCUCCUACAGUCGGCCACAGCCUCCACCCUGUGAGGACACUGAGCGGGCAGUGCGUAUUGAGGCCCUAUCACCGCCAAACCCCUUUCCAUCCGUUUCAGCAUUGAUGCCAACUGGAUUGCUCAUUAAAUAUUUUCUGAGAGUUGAUGCUGAUGGCUUAUUUCACACAUAUCCUCAUCGGGGUGGUCCGUUUAAGAGCUUAGAAGAAGCCCAGGAGGCCAUAGACACCUAUCAUGCUAAUCGGAUUAAAAUCAAGUACUUGGGUGAGCUUUCCAAAGAGGACAGGUAUGUUUGGCAUAAACUAUAUUGGCGUGAUGGAACAAGGAAGAAUUCGAAAGAAGCUUUGGAUGCAAUGAUGAACCUUGACCCCACUUUGGAAGUAGUUAAAUGUUUACUAGACAAGCAUAAUGAGGAACACCAUCUUUUCGAGAAAGAGGAUUGAAUGACAACCAAAAUCUUCUCUUCAUUGAAAUCACAUGCACAGAUGGUGAAUUUGAGGAGUAUGCGCUUACUUGUCUUUGUGCGGUUUCGUCCGAUGAUAAUGGUGAGUGCUGUGAAUGUGGUGAUGAUGUGAAGCAUCCCACUGGUGUGGAGUACAAAAAGGGUGAAGCAAAGCCCCAUGGUCGAUGCAAGUGCAUUAACAGGCCUAUCUCAGAUGAAGCAUUUAACAAGUUUAUUGUUGUGCGUGAUGAGGAUUCCCUGGAGGCGGAGGAGGCUAGGGUGAGACGGCAAUUCAGGAUACGCAACAUAGCAGAUGGCCAUGGAGCGAGGGGCAAAUACAUCGUACCGGCGAAACGUGUGCAAGCAUAGAUGUAUAAUCAUUAAGGUUGUGCUGCGUUUGUUUUUGGUACCAGUGAUGCUGAGUAAGUAGCAUGUGAGUGUUUGGCGUCUUGCUUGCUGACGUAGAAGCCUCAGCUCGUUUGGGUGGAGGACGGUCCUGUGCGGAACCCUCGUUUAUGGUGGAAUAUCUGAAACAGCUAAUGAACACCUACGUUUUGGGGGAAUAAGCUGGCAAAACCAAAGUGGCUUUUUCAGUGCA